UGUGUAGGUGGCGCCGUAAGUCGGGUGUGAAAUUUCGGAGCUUAACUCCGAAACUGCAUUCGAUACUGCGGUGCUUGAGGACUGGAGAGGAGACUGGAAUUCAUGGUGUAGCAGUGAAAUGCGUAGAGAUCAUGAGGAAGACCAGUGGCGAAGGCGGGUCUCUGGACAGUUCCUGACACUGAGACACGGAAGGCCAGGGGGAGCAAACG
rnacentral:rRNA from 1 species